rnacentral:rRNA from 1 species
CCCCCAUUCCACUAUCACAGAGUGACAUCAAAACCGCCCUGAACACUCUCAUGAAUCAGCGAUACCAGGAUGCAAAGAAAGCGAGUGAAAACGGCGAAUUUGAACGUGGCGAAAUUUUGCUGAAGUCGAUAUGUAGCGAUUUCAGAAUAUUGGUGGAGCGUUCCAUUGAAAAUGACCUGCUGUGCGGCGUGGUUCAAAGGUUCCAGCGACCAGUCCAUACCUUGAAGCUCAAGGAUCUGGCCAAGUUAAAGGACGCGGAUUGCAACCUCCUUGAUUCGCUCAUGACCAAAUACUCCGGAUUUGAACACUCCCAACCAGCAGAGUCACCCGUAGAGUUGCCGAAGGUUGACGAUCUUCUAGCCGACAUGGCAGCACUAAGGAAUUGGCGGGAGGGC